rnacentral:lncRNA from 1 species
CUCAGUGCUGUCCCCAGUCUAGGCUCCAGACAGGCAUUCAUGGUACCUUUGGUAAGCCCCAGGGCUCAGUGACCAGGGUUCUCAUUGGCCAGGUAAGCAUGUCCAUCCUCACUAAGCUGCAGAGUAAGCAACAUGUGAUUGAGGUUCUUUGUAGAGCUAAGUUCAAGUUCUGUGACCACCAGAAGAUCCUCACCUCAAAGAAGUGGGCCUUUAUCAAGUUUAAUACAGGUGAAUUUGAAGACAUGGUCACUGAGAAGUGGCUCUUUCCUGAUGGCUGUGGAGUCAGAUAUACCCCAAUCGAGUUCCCCUGGACAAGUGG